UACGAAGGGGGCUAGCGUUGUUCGGAAUUACUGGGCGUAAAGCGCACGUAGGCGGACUAUUAAGUCAGGGGUGAAAUCCCGGGGCUCAACCCCGGAACUGCCUUUGAUACUGGUAGUCUAGAGUCCGGAAGAGGUGAGUGGAAUUCCGAGUGUAGAGGUGAAAUUCGUAGAUAUUCGCAAGAACACCAGUGGCGAAGGCGGCUCACUGGCCCGUAACUGACGCUGAGGCACGAAAGCGUGGGGAGCAAACAGG
rnacentral:rRNA from 1 species